rnacentral:rRNA from 1 species
UACGUAGGGACCGAGCGUUGUCCGGAAUCAUUGGGCGUAAAGAGCGUGUAGGCGGCCAAUUAAGUCCUGCGUGAAAUCUCGGGGCUCCAACCCCGAGCGGUCGUGGGAAACUGGUUGGCUAGAGUGCGGGAGAGGAGAGUGGGAAUUCCUGGUGUAGCGGUGAAAUGCGCAGAUAUCAGGAAGAACACCCGUGGCGAAGGCGGCUCUCUGGAACGCAACUGACGCUGAGACGCGAAAGCGUGGGGGAGCAAAACAGG